AAACUAUGUAUUGGGCAUUUUCUAAUUAACUCCUUUAAUCACUCCUAUGCUUCAUAUAAUGUUUCAUCCUCAAAUUGCCGAAAGAACGUAAUAUCGUUCCUCAAUUU
rfam:Gossypium arboreum cultivar AKA8401 contig_45214_1, whole genome shotgun sequence.